UUAAGUUGGGCACUCUAAGGAGACUGCCGGUGACAAACCGGAGGAAGGUGGGGAUGACGUCAAGUCAUCAUGCCCCUUACACUCUGGGCUACACACGUGCUACAUUGGGUAGAACAAUAAGUUGCUAAGUUGCGAAACCAAGCGAAUCUUCAAAUCUACUCUAAGUUCGGAUUGUAGGCUGCAACUCGCCUACAUAAAGAUGGAAUCGCUAGUAAUCGCUGGUCAGCUACACAGCGGUGAAUCCGUUCCCGGGCCUUGUACACACCCCCCGUCACACCAUGGGAGCGGGUU
rnacentral:rRNA from 1 species